rnacentral:rRNA from 1 species
CAGUAGCCACGGUAAUACGGAGGGUGCAAGCGUUAAUCGGAAUUACUGGGCGUAAAGCGCACGCAGGCGGUCUGUCAAGUCGGAUGUGAAAUCCCCGGGCUCAACCUGGGAACUGCAUUCGAAACUGGCAGGCUAGAGUCUUGUAGAGGGGGGUAGAAUUCCAGGUGUAGCGGUGAAAUGCGUAGAGAUCUGGAGGAAUACCGGUGGCGAAGGCGGCCCCCUGGACAAAGACUGACGCUCAGGUGCGAAAGCGUGGGGAGCAAACAGGAUUGGAUACCCCAGUAGUCCCUGUCUCUUAUAC